AGCAGCCGCGGUAAUUCCAGCUCCAAUAGCGUAUAUUAAAGUUGUUGCAGUUAAAAAGCUCGUAGUUGAAUUUCGGGGUUCUACCGUUGGUCGGGCUAACCAGUCUGUACUAGCGUGUAAAAUUCCUACCUUCUGGGGAACCAUCAUGUUAUUAAUUUAGCGUGGUGGGAAACCAGAACCUUUACCUUGAAAAAAUUAGAGUGUUCAAAGCAGGCUUACGUCUGAAUACAUUAGCAUGGAAUAAUAAAAUAGGACGGUGGUCCUGUUUUGUUGGUUUCUGAAUCACCGUAAUGAUUAAUAGGGAUAGUUGGGGGCAUUAGUAUUCAAUUGUCAGAGGUGAAAUUCUUGGAUUUAUUGAAGACUAACUUCUGCGAAAGCAUUUGCCAAGGAUGUUUUCAUUAAUCAAGAACGAAAGUUAGGGGAUCGAAGACGAUCAGAUACCGUCGUAGU
rnacentral:rRNA from 1 species